rnacentral:rRNA from 1 species
ACGGAAGGCAGCAGUGGGGAAUAUUGCACAAUGGGGGGAACCCUGAUGCAGCGACGCCGCGUGAGUGAAGAAGUAUUUCGGUAUGUAAAGCUCUAUCAGCAGGGAAGAAAAUGACGGUACCUGACUAAGAAGCCCCGGCUAACUACGUGCCAGCAGCCGCGGUAAUACGUAGGGGGCAAGCGUUAUCCGGAUUUACUGGGUGUAAAGGGAGCGUAGACGGUCUGGCAAGUCUGAUGUGAAAGGCAGGGGCUCAACUCCUGGACUGCAUUGGAAACUGUCAGUCUUGAGUGUCGGAGAGGUAAGCGGAAUUCCUAGUGUAGCGGUGAAAUGCGUAGAUAUUAGGAGGAACAUCAGUGGCGAAGGCGGCUUACUGGGCUUUAACUGACGCUGAGGCUCGAAAGCGUGGGGAGCAAACAGGAUUAGAUACCCUGGUA